rnacentral:rRNA from 1 species
UGGGGAAUAUUGCACAAUGGAGGGAACUCUGAUGCAGCGACGCCGCGUGAACGAAGAAGGCUUUCGAGUCGUAAAGUUCUUUUAUAUGGGAAGAUAAUGACGGUACCAUAAGAAAAAGCCCCGGCUAACUACGUGCCAGCAGCCGCGGUAAUACGUAGGGGGCUAGCGUUGUCCGGAAUCACUGGGCGUAAAGGGUUCGCAGGCGGAAAUGCAAGUCAGGUGUAAAAGGCAGUAGCUUAACUACUGUAAGCAUUUGAAACUGCAUAUCUUGAGAAGAGUAGAGGUAAGUGGAAUUUUUAGUGUAGCGGUGAAAUGCGUAGAUAUUAAAAAGAAUACCGGUGGCGAGGGCGACUUACUGGGCUCAUUCUGACGCUGAGGAACGAAAGCGUGGGUAGCAAACAGG